rnacentral:rRNA from 1 species
UACGAAGGGGGGCUAGCGUUGUUCGGAAUUACUGGGCGUAAAGGGCGCGUAGGCGGCCAUUCAAGUUAGGUGUGAAAGCCCUGGGCUCAACCUAGGAAUUGCACUUGAUACUGUUUGGCUUGAGUUCGGGAGAGGUGAGUGGAAUUCCCAGUGUAGAGGUGAAAUUCGUAGAUAUUGGGAAGAACACCAGUGGCGAAGGCGGCUCACUGGACCGACACUGACGCUGAGGCGCGAAAGCGUGGGGAGCAAACAGG